UAGGGAAUCUUCCGCAAUGGACGAAAGUCUGACGGAGCAACGCCGAGUGAGUGAAGAAGGAUUUCGGUUCGUAAAACUCUGUUGUUAGGGAAGAAAAAAUGUAUAGUAACUAUAUACAAAAGAGACGGUACCUAACCAGAAAGCCACGGCUAACUACGUGCCAGCAGCCGCGGUAAUACGUAGGUGGCAAGCGUUGUCCGGAAUUAUUGGGCGUAAAGCGCGCGCAGGUGGUUUAGAAAGUCUGAUGUGAAAGCCCACGGCUCAACCGUGGAGGGUCAUUGGAAACUAAUAAACUUGAGUGCAGGAGAGAAAAGUGGAAUUCCUAGUGUAGCGGUGAAAUGCGUAGAGAUUAGGAGGAACACCGGUGGCGAAAGCGGCUUUUUGGCCUGCAACUGACACUGAGGUGCGAAAGCGUGGGGAGCGAACAGG
rnacentral:rRNA from 1 species